ensembl:lncRNA
CUGAGGAUUCCCUCAUCAUUGUCACGGUGCCUGGAGGGAAAAAAAGAGCAAACAGCCUUCAAAGACUUUUAGGUAAAAGUUAAGCCGAAGUAGUUCUCAAGAGUUAAGUGCCUACUCUUCUCAAUGGUAGCAGCUAAAUUUAAGUGGAGAAGAAAAUAAAGUAGAAAGCUUCCGCCUAUGUGAAGCAGACCCGGCAUCUUCACAACACUGCCGAGAUUUACAAAUGCUCCUGAUGAGACAAAACCCCAGACUUAAUUGUGAAGUCAGCCACAAAGAAACACAGAUCUCAGAGAUCAGUAAAGGCGGACUCUUCCUCCUCUUGUUUCAUUUUCAGGUUUAUUUCUCUUUGCCUAGCAUUCUGGAUAAGCUCAACUCUAAGACAAUUGCAUACAGCUCCUCCACUUGUCUUAUCAAGGACACCUUCCACCGGCGUCCUCUUCCCGAGAUCACAUGGAGGCUCCAUAGAGAAGAGAGCAGGAGGAAGAGGAAAAGCAAGAGGGUUUCAAAAAUAAAUAGCGACACUAACAAAGAACUCUGGAAAGAAAAAUAAUAGAGAAGGAUCACUUGGAAGAAAAGAGGAAAGUACAAUGGGAGCACUCAAUGUGGAAACCCAACAGGAAGACCACAUAUUCAUGAAGCAAGAGCAGAUUCAGUAGAGUGGUCAAAUGAGGUCAGAUCAUAAGAGGAUGAAACAUCUAACAAAGCUUAAGAGUGAACAGUGUAUGCAGACCACUUGUGACAGAAUCGAGAGGUUCUGAAAAUGGAGGUGGAAAACCAGAAUCACUGGUGUGAAUGACUGAUGAGAUGACUGAUGCAUGCUCCUACUGCCUGACUUAAAGUGUGGGUGCUUGACCUCCCUCAUGAAUGUACAUUCAGUCACAACAGAGGAUAAAGGAGGAGCUUCAAGCAUCUUUUCAUCUCUCCCUCCACCUUCAGGACAGAGUGAUGAAUACAUACCAUAGCCCAUAGCCUUCUUCACUUUCUCCAUUAGUACAGUCUGUUCCCAGCCAGGGGAUAGUGCCACCUACACCAAUUAAUAUAAGGAAUAGAAUCCCCCUGCAAGCAUUGCUGGAGGCCCAUUUCUCAUUUCUCAGUACUGUUCAUCCGAGUUACCACUAAUCUCCUUUUGGUUUGCUCAGGUCAGCAGGAUCCUCUCUAGAGGCAUGCUCUCUCCCUGGAUGAAUACUGACCUCUACUAAAAGCAUCACUGUAGGACAGCAUGACAUCAGAAGAGCAUCAGCAAGGCAGUUUCUUAAGGUCUUUUCUCAAAAGACCUUUAAGAACUUCCUACUUGAAAGUGUGCCUUUGCUGUUUCCUCUGUAAGAGAAUUGAAUGGUCUAGAGAAUUAAUGAAGGAUUUGAACAAUUGUCUUGCCAAGGAAGUACAAUCUCCUUGUGUCUAGAGCACACUGACAGCCUUUGGGUAGCAUACCCAUACCUCCCAGAGAAGAGCAGAUACCUGUUGUUGCUUGUACGUUGGAAGACAGAUGUACACAGGAACCUGCAAACAUCUGAAAACUCUGCAUGUGUGUUUGUGAAACCCAUAGUGAAGUAGGCUUGGCCUCCCUGGACACUGAGAUCAAAUGGUCCUACAGUGUAGUAAGGCUGGCCUCAAGCUGUUGAUCCUCCUGCCUUGGCCUCCAGGUACACAGAGUACAGGCAUGC